AUGCUAGUGCAAGUUGAUCACCUAAUGCCUCAUGGCUUCCUUUUCAUCUUCCUAUUCUCUUCCAUUAUAUCUACCAAUAUUAUUCAUGCAUGCAACCAAACCGAAAGCAGCUCUCUCCUGUCGUUCAUCCUCAGUCUGUCUUCUCCUCCUUUAAAUUGGACUUCCCUUGAUUGUUGCCAUUGGGAGGGCAUUAGUUGUAAUCACGAUGGUUGGGUCACCGAUGUGGACUUACCCUCCAAAGGACUCAAAGGAGGUAACUUUCCCUUGUCACUUGGAAAUCUCACACAUCUCAGGUACCUGAAUCUAUCCCACAACUCACUUUACGGUUCACUAGACCAAUCCGCAUUCUUCUUGUCCUUGAAUAAUCUUGAGAUCCUUGAUUUGAGCUAUAACCUUCUUUCCGGAGAGCUACCAGAUUCUCUACCAUCCAGAAAUAUGAUCCGGAUGGUUGAUUUGUCCAGCAAUCACUUCUAUGGUGUAAUUCCAUCUUCGUUUUUCCAGGAAGCUAGGAAUUUGACUAGUUUCAGCGUCAGCAACAACACCUUCUCAGGUUUUAUCCCAUCCACCAUUUGUCUUCAUUCUUCUCCCUUGAUUAAGCUAUUGGAUUUUUCACUCAAUAAAUUCAGUGGCAAUAUAUCUCCUGGACUAGGGCAGUGUCUCCAACUGCAGGUUUUUCAUGCUGGUUACAAUAACCUCUCAGGAUUACUUCCAGAAGAUAUAUAUAAUGCUACCACACUUGAACAAAUUGCAUUACCUGCUAAUUCACUUUAUGGAGCCAUUAGUGAUAGAAUUGUGAACCUCACCAUUCUCACUAUCCUUGAUCUCAACUCUAACGGUUUUAGUGGCAUGCUUCCUGCUAAUAUUGGGAAGCUCUCCAAUUUGAAACUCAUGCUCCUUUAUGCCAACAAACUAGAAGGUUUGCUGCCGUCAUCAUUGAUGAAUUGUACAAAACUUAUAGAGUUGAGUCUGCGAUUCAACAACUUUGAAGGAGACAUCUCUGCUAUUAAUUUCUCCAGGUUUAGUCAACUUAGUAAACUUGAUCUAAUGAAUAACAACUUCACUGGUAUGUUGCCAACAAGCCUUUACUCAUGCAAGUCACUUAAAGCAAUUCGACUGAGCAUUAACCAUCUCAAGGGACAAAUACAACCUGAGAUCCUUUCACUAAAAUAUCUGUCCUUCCUCUCGCUUGGUUUUAACUCACUGACCAAUGUAACAGGGGCAAUGAAAAUACUGAUGCGAUGCGAAAGUCUCGUAUUCCUGUCAUUGACAUCUAGUUUUGUAGGUGAGGAUUUGCCCUCUGACGAGGGCAUAGUUGAAUUUGAUGGAUUCCAAAAGCUUCGACUUUUGGAUUUAAGUCAUUGUGAGUUCUCUGGACAAAUACCGGUAUGGUUAUCUAAACUAAAGAAGCUAGAGUUCUUGAAUCUGUUUCAUAACAGAAUCACAGGGUCAAUUCCUAGUUGGUUGGGAACUCUUCCAAGGCUCUCGUAUUUAGACUUGUCAUUCAACCAAAUUUCAGGUGAAUUUCCAAAGGAACUUUGCAGACUUCCAAUGUUGGCAUCGGGACAAACUGCAGCUCAACUAGAUCGGGGAUAUCUUGAAUUGCCUAUGUUCGCCUCAAUACCCCUGAUUCUAGCCAAAGAUACAAAUUACAACUUUUUGUCUUAUGCACAUGCUUUACAGUACAACUAUUUGUCUCACCUUGCACCGUCCAUAUUCCUAUACAACAAUAGCAUCAGUGGCAGCAUACCUACCGAGAUAGGCCGAUUGCAGCUUCUCCAUGUGUUGUAUCUUGGUGUCAACAACUUCUCUGGCAGCAUUCCGGACCAAAUAUCCAACCUAAAAAACUUGGAGAUAUUGGACGUCUCCGUGAAUCAUUUGUCUGGAAAACUCCCAGCGUCAUUGGCAAGCCUCAAUUUCUUGAAAUCUUUUAAUGUCUCAUACAAUAAUCUGGAAGGACCAAUACCAAGAAGCACUCAGCUCCAGAGCUUCAACGCCUCUGUAUUUGAGGGAAAUCCUAAACUUUGUGGUGCCCCACUUCCAAAUGAGUGCAGAUCAAUCAACGCCGUUGGCGGAGAUGAUAAGAACCAUCAAGAUAAGGAUCAGAAUGGGCAUCAAAUUCCAUGGUUUUAUAUUUCUGUGUUGCUUGGGUUCAUUAUAGGAUUCUGGGGAGUGUUUGGUCCUUUAAUGGUUAAGAAGACGUGAUAUGCAUGUUUUCAAGCCCUAGGCAAAGUGCAAGACAGGCUCAUCAUCGUGUGGAUGACCAGGAUGCAGAGAAGACUUAGAAGCUAA